ensembl:lncRNA
GUGAUGUUCGUUACGAAAGUAACCUGCAAACGCACUGGACCAAUACCAUACAACCAUGGUUGUGGUGUUGCUGAAUGAGUUCUUCGUUCGUACAGCACACCGUACAUUGGCAUUUCUUGAAUUUACUUUAGGUUUAAGUUGGCUGAUUGAUUGAGCGUUUAUACCCUGAAUAACACUUGUGUAACCACUGAAAUGUGUUAUAACUGACUUGUUACGGAUGCCAAUGACAUUGGCAUUAGCCAGAGGAUUUCCUUCCUUGGCGAGCUGCAGAUCUCUCUGCCGCCAUCAGAAUCGGACCUUCUCAACACAACAAUCACUUGUCAGGGUGUUGUACGAUGGACUUUGUCCCAUUUGUGUGACAGAGAUACGGUUCCUCCAGUAUUAUCAGAGAAACAAAGCAGAAAAAGUCACAUUUGUUGACAUCUCACUUCCUGGUUAUGACGGAGGAGAGUUCGCAGGGGUCAGCUACGACACGGCCAUGGAUGAGAUGCACGUGAUUGAUGAAAGGGACCAGGUACACCGUGGGAUCCCAGCGUUCUCAGUCAUGUACGGCGCCGUCGGCCUGGGCUGGUUGGGGCGCUUCAUGAUGUGGGCCCCUUUGAGGCCCUGGAUGGACAAAAGCUACGCCAUCUUUGCCAGGAAUCGCCUGAAGUGGACUGGACGUGGGGAUGAGUGCCGUACCGAAGCUGUGCAAAGAAAACACGUUGAUCGUUUGGAUGGCAGUUCGACUAUUUAUGGGAUGGAUUACAAAACUGCUGGGCAUCUGCCACUAGAUGACAAUGAAGGUUGGAAAACAAGCUGUCGCAAUAAAAUGCUAGCAAAGUGAUGAAAUGUGUUUUUGAAGGAAUGCGUUUUCAAGAAUGACAACAUUUGAAGGCCUGAUGUUGAUUAUACUGUUGCAUUACCUUGGCCAACACAGAAUGGAAUCAACAACGUCAAAUCGCACCUUUGUAUGGUUUGUGCAAUAAAAACGUCAGUAAUGCUGU